UGAUAAAAUAAUUUUCUAUUUAUUAUUACAUACAAAGGAACAAAACUAUGGCUCAAAUUCCAUAUUAUUUUUAUGUUUUGAUCAUAUUUGUUUCUCUAUUUAUUGUUGCAACCAAUAGUAGUAGUAACAUUAUAAGUACUGACACUCCUUGCAAAUUACCCUCCGAUUGUCCAGAAAAUUUGUGUACUGCUCCUAAAGUUCGUUGGUGCGUCGAUCGUUUUUGUUCGUGUGUGUAAGUGUUACAGUUGAUGUAAACAUAAUGUUAUAUUAUUUGUAACUAUAUAAUUUUAUUUAUAUACAUGCAUGUAAUGUUUGGUAUACUCUUAUAAUUUUCCUCACACUUUUAUUUAUGGUUUUUUACCUGUUGAAUAAAUUAAAAGUGUGCAACAAAUUUUGUUAUUGUUUAUCUUAAAGAAAUUAUGUUCUGAAUUUAUUAAAAUGUGCCAAGAUUUUAUUAGUGAAAGAACGGGCAUUGGAUAUAGUUUGAUUUUAUUUUGUCAAAAACUUG